AGGACGAACGCUGGCGGCGUGCUUAACACAUGCAAGUCGAACGGAAAGGCCUCUUCGGAGGUACUCGAGUGGCGAACGGGUGAGUAACACGUGGGUGAUCUGCCCUGCACUUCGGGAUAAGCCUGGGAAACUGGGUCUAAUACCGAAUAUGACCUCUUGGCGCAUGCCUUGUGGUGGAAAGCUUUUGCGGUGUGGGAUGGGCCCGCGGCCUAUCAGCUUGUUGGUGGGGUAACGGCCUACCAAGGCGACGAUGGGUAGCUGGUCUGAGAGGACGAUCAGCCACACUGGGACUGAGACACGGCCCAGACUCCUACGGGAGGCAGCAGUUAGGAAUUUUCCGCAAUGGGCGAAAGCCUGACGGAGCAACGCCGCGUGUGUGAUGAAGGCCUUCGGGUUGUAAAGCACUGUCGGAGGGAAGAAUGAAUGACGGUACCCUCCAAGAAGCCCGGCUAACUACGUACCAGCAGCCGC
rnacentral:rRNA from 1 species